GAUGAACGCUGGCGGCGUGCCUAAUACAUGCAAGUCGAGCGAACAGACGGGGAGCUUGCUCCUCUGACGUUAGCGGCGGACGGGUGAGUAACACGUGGAUAACCUACCUAUAAGACUGGGAUAACUUCGGGAAACCGGAGCUAAUACCGGAUAAUAUAUUGAACCGCAUGGUUCAAUAGUGGAAGACGGUUUUGCUGUCACUUAUAGAUGGAUCCGCGCCGCAUUAGCUAGUUGGUAAGGUAACGGCUUACCAAGGCAACGAUGCGUAGCCGACCUGAGAGGGUGAUCGGCCACACUGGAACUGAGACACGGUCCAGACUCCUACGGGAGGCAGCAGUAGGGAAUCUUCCGCAAAGGGCGAAAGCCUGACGGAGCAACGCCGCGUGAGUGAUGAAGGUCUUCGGAUCGUAAAACUCUGUUAUUAGGGAAGAACAAAUGUGUAAGUAACUAUGCACGUCUUGACGGUACCUAAUCAGAAAGCCACGGCUAACUACGUG
rnacentral:rRNA from 1 species